CAGUCUGGUGCCAGCAGCCGCGGUAAUUCCAGCUCCAAUAGCGUAUAUUAAAGUUGUUGCAGUUAAAAAGCUCGUAGUUGGAUUUCUGUUAAUAAUUUAUAUAUAAUAUUUUAUUAAUAUUUAUAUAGUAUUAACAUAAUUCAUAUUACUAUAUUUUAUAGUAUAUGAAAUUUUACUUUGAGAAAAUUAGAGUGCUUAAAGCAGGCAUUAGCCUUGAAUACUCCAGCAUGGAAUAAUAUAAAAGAUUUUUAUCUUUUUUAUUGGUUCUAAGAUAAAAAUAAUGAUUAAUAGGGACAGUUGGGGGCAUUUGUAUUUAACAGUCAGAGGUGAAAUUCUUAGAUUUGUUAAAGACAAACUAGUGCGAAAGCAUUUGCCAAGGAUGUUUUCAUUAAUCAAGAACGAAAGUUAGGGGAUCGAAGACGAUCAGAUACCGUCGUAGUCUUAACCAUAAACUAUGCCAACUAGAGAUUGGAGGUUGUUCCUUACUCCUC
rnacentral:rRNA from 1 species